GGUUCCAUUUGGAGACCACAGGAAACAAACAGGUGCCAAAAGCACAAGGCUGUCUCCUCACUUUUUUUUUUUUUUUUUUUUCAUUCCUAGUGCUUGGCAAAAAGCUUCUUAGCUAGCUGCCUCUGCAGUUCAACAUCGUCUGGAAGCUCCCACCUGUUUCCGUACCUGCAGAUCUGUUCUCCUCUUCCUGCAAAAAGCACUAUUUUGAUGUUCUGACUGUUCUGGGAGAUGAUGUUCUGAUAGCCAGCAAAAUUAUUAUUCUAAGAUGGUAAGGUAUUACAUGCCAUCGUUGGCAUCUGCCUAAUGAUGUUUUCAAUGAUGUUCUCAAAAGUGAAGGUGGACAGAGGCAAACGAUAAACUGCCUGUUUCAUAGUAGAUUAAUUUGAAACUUCAAAAAAUGGUUAAAUCAAGUCAUGCUUUAUUGCUAAGAAUACAAAAAUAGUCCAUCUCUAUGAGUUCUUAGAAACCUGUGAGAGUACUGUGCUGCCUAGAAUAGUACACCCUGCUACUUGGGAAACAGCAAAAUGCCAGUCCUUUCAUGUGAUACUAUGUAGGCAAUAA
rnacentral:lncRNA from 1 species